rnacentral:rRNA from 1 species
GAUGAACGCUAGCGGCAGGCUUAAUACAUGCAAGUCGAGGGGCAUCAAGGUACACGAAAGUGUAUUGUUGGCGACCGGCGGACGGGUGAGUAAUAGGUAGGUAACCUACCUCAUACUGAGGCAUAGCUGGGAGAAAUUCCAGGUAAUUCCUCAUGAGGUUAUAUGACACAUGUGAUAUAAUCAAAGGUAUCGCAAGGUACUGGUAUGAGAUGGGCUUACUGACCAUUAGCUAGUUGGUGAGAUAAGAGCUCACCAAGGCGAAGAUGGUUAGGGGUUUUGAGAGAGAGAUCCCCCACAUUGGAACUGAGAUACGGUCCAGACUCCUACGGGAGGCAGCAGUAGGGAAUAUUGGGCAAUGGGCGGAAGCCUGACCCAGCCAUGCCGCGUGAAGGAAGACGGCCUUAUGGGUUGUAAACUUCUUUACUGUGCGACUAGCUAGAUUUACGAGAUAAUUCUAUAGAAUGUAGCAUAGCAAAAAGCACC